GACGAACGCUGGCGGCGUGCUUAACACAUGCAAGUCGAACGAAGUGGGAACGGGUGAGUAAUACGUGAGUAACCUCCCUCAUUUUUGGGAUAAGCCUUGGAAACGGGGUCUAAACCGGAUAGAUGGGCUCGCGGCCUAUCAGAUUGUGGGUGGGGUGAUGGCCUACCAAGGCGGUGCCGGGUAGCCGGGCUGAGAGGGUGACCGGCCACACUGGGACUGGGACACGGCCCAGACCCCUACGGGAGGCAGCAGUAGGGAAUCUUCGUCCAUGGGCGGAAGUCUUACCGAGCAACGCCGCGUGAGUGAAGAAGGUUUUCGGAUCGUAAAGCUCUGUUGUUAGAGAAGCGGUAACUAACCAGAAAGGGACGGCUAACUACGUGCCAGCAGCCGCGGUAAUAC
rnacentral:rRNA from 1 species